UGAUUUUUAUUUAUUUAUUUAUUAUAAUAUUGAAUUGCAUACGUACUUUUUUCAAACGAACUUUAUCCCUUACAAACAUUUGCUUACAAAAAAUUGCAUACGAAUUUUAUGCAUGCGAACUAUUUCCAUACGUACUGUGGUCCUAGAAUCAUUAUAAAGAGCGGAGCAAUUCUUGUCUAAACCCUGUAAUAGAAUAAGUCUUUGUAGGUCACAGGAGGCCAUAGAUAAGGGAGGUUAGGUUCUCAGGUAAUAUUUCCUUUGUCUUGUUUCCCUGUUAGCUUUGAGGGUCAGGGUGGACCACUGGCCGCCACCUCCUCCUUGCCCUCAUGCUAAACCUUUACUACUGUUCCUAUAGACAUAAGAAGAAGAGGAGGAAGAACAAGAGGAGGAGGAGGAGGAGGAUGAAGGGGACACACAGGAAUCAAAUGGCUGGGGAAGGAGACGGUGGCUGAGUGGUUAGUGUGCCGGUCCUGCGUUCACUGCGUCAUGGAUGAUGAGGGUUUGAAUCUGUCGCUGCCACAGACUACUUGUCCUGAAGACCACCACCAUCAUCCUGGACUGUAUGGGACUGUCCAAGGGAAAGCAAGAUGGGGCCGCUAUAAACACUUGCCGGCUUGGGCCCACCACCAGGCCCAGCCGAGGGAGGUUGGUGUAGCAGUGCUGGGAGGUGCCAUAACACAGGGCACUCCUCACCUCAACAACAGUCUCUUCACCGACAAGUAAUUCUUCACCAACAAGCUUUUCAGCAGCUUGGAGAAAUAGACACUACCAAACGAAGAAGAGGAGGAGGAGGAGGACUGGGAAGAAGACGAGGAACACAGGAGGAGCCCAUUGAGAGAACAAGAAGAAGAAGAAGAAGAAGAAGAAGAGGAGGACACAGGAAUUCCUUGGUUGGUGUAGCAGUGCUGGGAGGUGCCAUAACACAGGGCACUCCUCACCUCAACAACAGUCUCUUCACCGACAAGUAAUUCUUCACCAACAAGCUUUUCAGCAGCUUGGAGAAAUAGAGGAAGAAGAGGAGGAAGAAGAAGAGAAGAUGAAGAGGAAGAAGAGGAGGAGGAGGAUAAGGACUUGGUUGGUGUAGCAGUGCCGGAGGUGCCAUAACACAGGGCACUCCUCACCUCAACAACAGUCUCUUCACUGACAAGUAAUUCUUCACCAACAAGCUUUUCAGCAGCUUGGAGAAAUAGACACUACCAAACGAAGAAGAGGAGGAGGAGGAGGAGGAGGAAGAAGAAGACGAGGAACACAGGAGGAACCCAUUGAGUGUGCGGUGUCCCGCAGGCAGACCGAGAUGUCCGUUCAAUUCUGCCGAAGGAAAAGAAGUCGUGUUAGUCAACUCUGAUGACUUGUACUUUUCUCUGCAAGGGAGUUCUGUAAGCCAGUCACAGAAGAUGUGAACUGUAUCUGUACUAUGAAGUCUUAUAA